GACGAACGCUGGCGGCGUGCCUAAUACAUGCAAGUAGAACGCUGAAGGAGGAGCUUGCUUCUCUGGAUGAGUUGCGAACGGGUGAGUAACGCGUAGGUAACCUGCCUGGUAGUGGGGGAUAACUAUUGGAAACGAUAGCUAAUACCGCAUAAUAGCAGUUGUUGCAUGAUAACUGUUUGAAAGGUGCAAUUGCACCGCUACCAGAUGGACCUGCGUUGUAUUAGCUAGUUGGUGGGGUAACGGCUCACCAAGGCGACGAUACAUAGCCGACCUGAGAGGGUGAUCGGCCACACUGGGACUGAGACACGGCCCAGACUCCUACGGGAGGCAGCAGUAGGGAAUCUUCGGCAAUGGACGGAAGGCUGACCGAGCAACGCCGCGUGAGUGAAGAAGGUUUUCGGAUCGUAAAGCUCUGUUGUAAGAGAAGAACGAGUGUGAGAGUGGAAAGUUCACACUGUGACGGUAUCUUACCAGAAAGGGACGGCUAACUACGUG
rnacentral:rRNA from 1 species